rnacentral:lncRNA from 1 species
UGGCCCAUAAUUUUUUAUAUUUAAUUUGGCAUGUAAUACAAAGAGAUGGUGUGGAGAAAUGCAAGAGUCUUCAUUAAGAAGGACUCUUCCUUCUUAACGCAGACAAGUGGGCGCUCUUAAUUAUUUGGCAUGGACUUUUAGGAAUGGUAUGGAGGACUCGUUUCUCACAUAAAACUCUUCCAAGUUAAGGCAAGAAAAUAACUUAAUUUAAUUAGAUUCAAGGCUAUAGGUUAAGUCUAGC